rnacentral:rRNA from 1 species
CCUACGGGAGGCAGCAGUGAGGAAUAUUGGUCAAUGGCCGGAAGGCUGAACCAGCCAUGCCGCGUGAAGGUCAGUGCCCUAUGGGCGUUAAACUUCUUUUGUGCGGGAGCAAUAAUGGUCACGUGUGGCCAGACGAGAGUACCGUACGAAUAAGCAUCGGCUAACUCCGUUCCAGCAGCCGCGGUAAUACGGGGGAUGCCAGCGUUAUCCGGAGUUAUUGGGUUUAAAGGGUGCGUAGGCUGUGAGGUAAGUCAGCGGUGAAAUGCCCCCGCUCAACGGGGUGAAGUGCCAUUGAUACUGCCUGGCUGGAAUGCGGAUGCCGUGGGAGGAAUGUGUGGUGUAGCGGUGAAAUGCAUAGAUAUCACACAGAACACCGAUUGCGAAGGCAUCUCACGAAGCCGCGAUUGACGCUGAUGCACGAAAGCGUGGGUAUCAAACAGGAUUAGAUACCCUUGUAGUC